rnacentral:rRNA from 1 species
AACGAACGCUGGCGGCAUGCCUAACACAUGCAAGUCGAACGGGAUCCUAGCUUGCUAGGUGAGAGUGGCGGACGGGUGAGUAACACGUGGGAAUCUGCCUUUUGGUUCGGGAUAACCGCGGGAAACUGCGGCUAAUACCGAAUGCCCUCGAGAGAGGAAAGAUUUAUCGCCAGAAGAGGAGCCCGCGUCCGAUUAGGUAGUUGGUGGGGUAAAGGCCUACCAAGCCGACGAUCGGUAGCUGGUCUGAGAGGAUGAUCAGCCACACUGGGACUGAGAUACGGCCCAGACUCCUACGGGAGGCAGCAGUGGGGAAUAUUGGACAAUGGGGGCAACCCUGAUCCAGCCAUGCCGCGUGAGUGAAGAAGGCCUCGGUUGUAAGACGUCUUUCGUACGGGGACGGAUGAUGACGGUACCCGUACUAAGAAGA